rnacentral:rRNA from 1 species
ACCSSGSGGGYRAUUKYCUUUAKUWGCGGCGAGUGAAGCGGCAAUAGCUCAAAUUUGAAAUCUGGCACCUUCGGUGUCCSASUUGUAAUUUGAAGAAGGUAUCUUUGGUUUUGGCUCUUGUCUAUGUUCCUUGGAACAGGACGUCACAGAGGGUGAGAAUCCCGUGCGAUGAGAUGCCCAAUUCCAUGUAAAGUUCCUUCGACGAGUCGAGUUGUUUGGGAAUGCAGCUCUAAGUGGGUGGUAAAUUCCAUCUAAAGCUAAAUAUUGGCGAGAGACCGAUAGCGAACAAGUACUGUGAAGGAAAGAUGAAAAGAACUUUGAAAAGAGAGUGAAAAAGUACGUGAAAUUGUUGAAAGGGAAGGGCUUGAGGUCAGACUUGGUUUUACCAGGCCAGCAUCAGUUUGGAUGGCAGGAUAAUAGCUUAGGAAUGUGGCACUGCUUCGGUAGUGUGUUAUAGCCUGGGUUGAUACUGCCUGUCUAGACUGAGGACUGCGUCUUUGACUAGGAUGCUGGCAUAAUGACCUUAAGCCGCCCGUCUUGAAACACRGACCA